CUACGUGCCAGCAGCCGCGGUAAUACGUAGGUGGCAAGCGUUGUCCGGAAUUAUUGGGCGUAAAGCGCGCGCAGGCGGAUUGGUCAGUCUGUCUUAAAAGUUCGGGGCUUAACCCCGUGAUGGGAUGGAAACUGCCAAUCUAGAGUAUCGGAGAGGAAAGUGGAAUUCCUAGUGUAGCGGUGAAAUGCGUAGAUAUUAGGAAGAACACCAGUGGCGAAGGCGACUUUCUGGACGAAAACUGACGCUGAGGCGCGAAAGCCAGGGGAGCGAACGGGAUUAGAUACCCCGGUAGUCCUGGCCGUAAACGAUGGGUACUAGGUGUAGGAGGUAUCGACCCCUUCUGUGCCGGAGUUAACGCAAUAAGUACCCCGCCUGGGGAGUACGACCGCAAGGUUGAAACUCAAAGGAAUUGACGGGGGCCCGCACAAGCGGUGGAGUAUGUGGUUUAAUUCGAAGCAACGCGAAGAACCUUACCAAGUCUUGAGAUCCC
rnacentral:rRNA from 1 species